UACGUAGGGCGCAAGCGUUGUCCGGAAUUAUUGGGCGUAAAGAGCUCGUAGGCGGCCUGUUGCGUCCGCUGUGAAAUCCCGGGGCUCAACCUCGAGACGUCGGUUGAAACCAUCUGGCUAGAGUCCGGAAGAGGAGAGUGGAAUUCCUGGUGUAGCGGUGAAAUGCGCAGAUAUCAGGAAGAACACCCGUGGCGAAGGCGGCUCUCUGGGACGGUACUGACGCUGAGACGCGAAAGCGUGGGGAGCGAACAGG
rnacentral:rRNA from 1 species